rnacentral:rRNA from 1 species
AACGCUGGCGGCGUGCCUAAUACAUGCAAGUCGAACGGUCUUUCUAUGGAAGCUUGCUUCCACUGAAAAGAUAGUGGCGAACGGGUGAGUAACACGUGGGUAACCUGCCCAUAAGAGGGGGGAUAACAUCCGGAAACGGGUGCUAAUACCGCAUAGUUUUCUUGAUCGCAUGAUCGGGAAAGGAAAGACGGCCUUUGUGCUGUCGCUUAUGGAUGGACCCGCGGCGUAUUAGUUAGUUGGUGAGGUAACGGCUCACCAAGACGAUGAUACGUAGCCGACCUGAGAGGGUGAUCGGCCACAUUGGGACUGAGACACGGCCCAAACUCCUACGGGAGGCAGCAGUAGGGAAUCUUCCGCAAUGGACGAAAGUCUGACGGAGCAACGCCGCGUGAGUGAAAGAAGGUUUUCGGAUCGUAAAACUCUGUUGUCAGAGAAGAACAAGUUGGAGAGUAACUGCUCCAGCCUUGACGGUAUCUGACCAGAAAGCCACGGCUAACUACGUGCCAGCCGCGGC